rnacentral:rRNA from 1 species
CCUACGGGAGGCAGCAGUGGGGAAUUUUGGACAAUGGGCGCAAGCCUGAUCCAGCAAUGCCGCGUGAGUGAAGAAGGCCUUCGGGUUGUAAAGCUCUUUUGUCAGGGAAGAAACGGUGGGGGCUAAUAUCCCCUGCUAAUGACGGUACCUGAAGAAUAAGCACCGGCUAACUACGUGCCAGCAGCCGCGGUAAUACGUAGGGUGCAAGCGUUAAUCGGAAUUACUGGGCGUAAAGCGUGCGCAGGCGGUUUUGUAAGUUUGUCGUGAAAUCCCCGGGCUCAACCUGGGAAUGGCGAUGAAGACUGCAAGGCUAGAAUCUGGCAGAGGGGGGUAGAAUUCCACGUGUAGCAGUGAAAUGCGUAGAGAUGUGGAGGAACACCGAUGGCGAAGGCAGCCCCCUGGGUCAAGAUUGACGCUCAUGCACGAAAGCGUGGGGAGCAAACAGGAUUAGAUACCCUGGUAGUCCACGCCCUAAACGAUGUCUACUAGUUGUCGGGUUUUAAUUAACUUGGUAACGCAGCUAACGCGUGAAGUAGACCGCCUGGGGAGUACGGUCGCAAGAUUAAAACUUAAAGGAAUUGACGG